rnacentral:rRNA from 1 species
GACAGAGGGACCAAGCGUUGUUCGGAUUUACUGGGCGUAAAGGGCGCGUAGGCGGCUUAACAAGUCACUUGUGAAAUCUCCGGGCUUAACUCGGAACUGCCAAGUGAAACUGUCAAGCUAGAGUGCAGAAGGGGCAAUCGGAAUUCUUGGUGUAGCGGUGAAAUGCGUAGAUAUCAAGAGGAACACCUGAGGUGAAGACGGGUUGCUGGGCUGACACUGACGCUGAGGCGCGAAAGCCAGGGGAGCAAACGGG